GGUUGAGGUCCAGAGUUCAGUUUGAGUGGUGUAGAGAAUGAUGAAGAUGAACACUGCACAGUAAAGCUUAUCCACUAUAGAACUUCAUACUGUACUAUAGAAAACAAAACAAAAAGUGGAUAUAUUUGAGGGUUUUAUGUUGAUGUUUCAACAGCACAAAGGCCUUUCUCUCGAUCAGUCACAAUGAACAAUUAUGUGACACAUUGUAAACAGUCGGACCCCCCCAUGAAGUCAUACUAAGCUACUGUAAUAAUAUAAUUAAGCCAAUUUAUUAACCCAUUCUUCUGGAAUUAAACUUUGACAGGGUCAUGCAACUGUUGCAGCAAGCAUAGCUAGCUUUCUCUCUUCACAGCUUUGGAGGGUCCAGGGGGAAAAGGGUCUGCAGUAAGAAGUGUUGUUCAGUAGGGAUUAGCAUCUCUUUGUGAUGUAAAUACUCUGUAAACUAUGGCCUAGUUCCCAUGUCCAUACCAAAGACAAUACAGGGACCAGGAGGUUUUAACACGCAUGCAGUGUGUGCCAAUCAUCACCAGGCUCCUGUCCCCACCAUUGGCAUCCACACGCUUCCAUGCGUAUCCCGCUGUGCUCCCAUGCCCGGGCCCAUCGUGCCAACUAUGACGUAGUGUUCAACAAAGCAUGUUACAAAUAUCCAUCACAAAGGCCCUGUGAGCCAUAACAAGCACAUUAUUUUCGCAGAACGUCAUGCUUUUGUGAAUUUGAAUUGUCCUCCUGCUUGUGAAUGCUUGUAUUGUCUGCCUGCAUCAUUCCAGAUACUCUGGAAGAACCUUAAACUGGCUUUAAAAGAGAGAAUGCAGAGAUCAGAAGAGAGCGAUUAACUACUGGUGGUGGACCACCAAAAAAAGACAUGACUGAUGAAUUGAGCGACUUGCUGUCUGGAGUAAUAGAGCACCAGCAACCUCUGGAUGGUAUACCAGAUGAUGACCAACCUCUGGAUGGUAUACCAGAUGAUGACCAACCUCUGGAUGGUAUACCAGACGAUGACUAUUUGGACAGUUCAGAUGAAGAACUGAGCACAAAUGAGGAAAGCAAUCUGAACAGGUUGGAAGAGCCAGUGCAGUGAGUGUGUACCCUCCAACCAUGUGUAUGUGACAAAUACAUUUGAUUUGAUUUGAUCUGCUAUAGCAUCCCUGAGAGAAGAUGCUGCCACCACCUUUCAGCAGAGAACAAAAAAGAUGACCAUGCAUUAAAAGUUAACCAGAGAAUUUCAUGAGCAUGAAAUGAAAUAUCUGAAGGAAGAACAUGAAAUGAAAAUAAGAAUUCUACAGGUUGUAUUGGAUAUGAAGUUGGAAGAGAAAAAAAAGAUACAGUAAUGAGACAAUUGUGAUUACCAGCCAUGGUGAACAAUUUGAUAUGUAAAAAAUA